rnacentral:rRNA from 1 species
GACGAACGCUGGCGGCGUGCUUAACACAUGCCAGUCGAACGGAAAGGCCCUGCUUUUGUGGGGUGCUCGAGUGGCGAACGGGUGAGUAACACGUGAGUAACCGGCCCUUGACUUUGGGAUAACUUCAGGAAACGGGGGCUAAUACCGGAUAGGAGCUCCUGCGGCAUGGUGGGGGUUGGAAAGUUUCGACGGUUGGGGAUGGACGCGCGGCUUAUCAGCUUGUUGGUGGGGUAGGGGCUUACCAAGGCUUUGACGGGUAGCCGGCCUGAGGGGGUGACCGUCGUCAUUGGGCCUGCGAUACAGCCUAUACUCCUACUGGCCGCAACAGUGCCGAAUAUUGCUUAAUGGGCGGAAGUCUGAUGAAGCCACGUCGCGUGCGUGAUGAAGGCCUUCGGGUUGUAGACCCCUUUCGCCUUUGACGUAGCUUGCUUGACGGUAAUGGGUUAAGAAGCAACGGCUCACUUCGUG